UACGAAGGUCCCGAGCGUUGUUCGGAAUCACUGGGCGUAAAGGGAGCGUAGGCGGCGUGGUAAGUCAGAUGUGAAAUCCCGGGGCUCAACCCCGGAACUGCAUCCGAUACUGCCAUGCUAGAGGAUUGGAGAGGUAGCUGGAAUUCUUGGUGUAGCAGUGAAAUGCGUAGAUAUCGGGAGGAACACCUGUGGCGAAAGCGGCUCACUGGACCAUAACUGACGCUGAUGCGCGAAAGCUAGGGGAGCAAACAGG
rnacentral:rRNA from 1 species